UUAUAUUUCUCCUAAAUUACAGUAAUCCUUUGAGAUGGAAAUUGCUGCAGUGUUGCUAGCUCCAGCACUUUUAUCCAGAGCAUUGUGUUGUUCACAUUUUCCCAGAGAGCUCAGCUCUGGGAAACACAGGAUUACAGGAGAAUCUCUAAUUUAAUUUUUUAUAGAUUAGUUUCUUAUGUACUGAGUUGUGAAGCAAAGCUGAACAAGGGACCCCUGAAGACUCAAAACCAGAAGGCAGAUUAAAACAGUUUCAAAUGUAUUACAAUUUAAAACCUCAUUAUUUUAACUUCACCUCAUUCAUUUUUAAUACAUGGAGAUGGGAAUUGCCAAAACUGGGUUAGAUUUCCAAAGGAAUCAUAGGCAUGGCUCUGCUGAGACACCUUGGGUUCUACUGGCAUGCACAGUCACAGGCUGCAGCCACGGGGACCCCUUUGCCAUAUUUGGGAGACACGAAGGUCUACAUCUGGACAGAGGAAACCCUGAACAGCCCAUUGAACACGUGGCUGGGAUGAGGUGCUGCUAAAGCCCUCAGGAAAUCUGGGAUCUGUAGCUGUCCCCAGAAGACUCCUGACUGGGGUUAAGUACCAAGGUCUGGUCUCUCAAAAGAACAAAGCAAAAACUGGAGCUGAAGUGGAGACAACUUUUCUUUACAUGGUCAAAAGGGGUUUGAGUAGCAUCUGCCCUGCAGGUUUGUUAGUAUUUUAAUUAAGGUGGGUUAUGAGUUUCCAAAUGAGGGCAAGUCAGCAGUGCUGCAGAGACAGACCAUCAGUGGGACGUCAGGACAUCAUCUGUCACCAGCCCAUGUUGGUAUAGUGAGUUUGUUCUGUGUUUUCUUCUGUCAACUGUCCUCCCUUACAGUCACUUUAUGGAUGCUAAUUAUUUAUAUCCAGACCUCCUAUUUUUGCUCUUUAGUUUAUAGCUAACUAUAUCUUAAAGAAAAACAAGGCACAGACUUCCAUCAUUUAUUUCACAAAUAAAGACCUCUUAAGUAAUGUACAUAGUUAUACUAUAUACAUUUUUAUAUCAUUUGUUUUAAAGAGAACUGUGACAAAAGAAAGAAGCAACAGAUUUGUCCCUGAGACUUAUUUUUAUCAUUAAGAAUUACAAAUGCACAAAAGUCACUGUGUAUUGUGUGCAAUCCCUCUUAGUAGUCUGGCACCAAACUGCUGAUGUGAACUAGAGAGAUCACUGGCAAGGAAAUCGAGUCUCUUUUAAAGUAUAAUUAAAAUUAAAGGUCUGUUAUAUUUCUUCACUCCAGUUUUAAUAAUAUAAUCCUUCAUGCCCAAUCCCAGCUGGCCAAAUCCUAAUUACAACAUCCCACAAUAUCCAUCAUAAAAAAAGCAUCUGCCUUUAUGUAAGAGUGCUUUGCCACACUUCUGUCUGCUGAUGUCUUUCUCAUCUGUACCUUCUUUACACCUCUCUGUGUUUAAAUAUCUGUCCUUUAUAAGACCUGGCUUUGCUGAUCCCAAGGGUUACAUUCAGCUCUGUGAAAGUGCUGGACACUGUGGCACAAAUCAAAAAAAAAAAAUGGGAAAAGUGUUUUGCCAUCUUUUGUCCACUUUGCAGCCUGCUGCAAAAGGAACUGCCCUCUGCACAGUCAGCUGUGUGCAUGGAUGUUUUAACUGACUAUUUUAACCUUGUUUUCUAUAUUUAGUUUGGGAUCUCUCAAUGGGAAGGCACUACUGGCCUUAUUUAAGGCAGAGCCACAGCAUCCAGCAGCUGAGAAGAGCGUAAUCCCUAGAAAUCCUUCAACAAAGCAAAUGGAAAAGCUCCUGUGUUUGAAAACAUCCUUGAGAAGAGCUGCAUUUUUGUCUUGGAGAGGCUGUUAUUUACAUGGAAAAAUAUUGUAUGUAUUGUGCAUGUUUCUAGUCUUCUUCCCACAGAAUCAUCCAAGGAAGUUCUUGCUCAACAACAUCUGUUCAAAUCACCACUUAACUGCACGAGUGUUCAUUUUGCAAACUUUUUGGCUACUUUGCUGUUUUGAUCCCAAAAAAGUCAAAUGGCACUGGCACAUCUUCUGGCCUGUAUUAGAGAGUGUCCACUGCAGACCUGCCCAAGUGGGAUCACGUGCAGCUCCAAGGGGUGGAGAGUCUGCAUCUUGGACUUGCUCGUCCUCGUGCCUGAUGGUUGAAACUGCUGGAGAGCUGCUGCCUGUGGCACAGCACUGACAGCAGGAUGUUGAUCCACAGCUGUUCCCAGCUCAGCGCUGCCUGGCGCCGUCGGAGUGUCAAUAUUUUGCUUACCAGAUAAAUGCAAACCUCGGGAAAGCUGUGUCAGCUGUCACACCCAGAUGUGGUGGUGCAGCAACGUCAGAGCGUCACAACGGCUCCUAAAGUUCCGAUUUGGUCUCUCCUGGAGAAAAUUGGUAUUUCAUGGAUCUCGAGGCCCUCACUGACUGUUUGCCUCAGAAUCCAGUUUGAAAUUGUACUCCUUGUUUUUCAAACCACACCCUCGCUCCUUGGACUUCUUUCCAGCUUGUCUCCUGGAGACGUGGAGCCCUCCCCUUUCCUCCCCUCUGUCUCUUCUCUCCUUCCAACAGGCUCCUCACUGCUGAGUCAAGAACUGUCUCCUCUCACCGUCUCCCAUCCAGAGCUGACUCCUUGUGCAUGUCCUGCAGUCAUUCUCCAUUUUAGUGCAAAGUUCCAUUCAAAUAGUGCUCUUUUCUCCUGGAAUUCAAUUCUUCUUUUCCAUCUGUUCUUACUGAAUGCAUAACUCUGGGUCACACUGAGGCUCUGGAUGAGUUUCUUCUGUGGUUUGUGUAAGUCAUUGUGCAAGCUCCUGAGCCCCAGCUGGUAAAAAUGGUAAUGUUUUUUAAGAAAUUAUUUGAAAUGUAAAGAUUCUGUUGCAGAGUUGUUUAAUAUGUAAUUGUUUAAUGUUUAAAUUCCCUCUAGUUCAUUCUUUGAAAGAAGAAUGGCAUUGUACAUGCUUAGAAUUUAAAGGCAAUCCCCUGUUAUGGUGGAUUUAACUCCUGACAUGUUCUUGAUAAAGGUCACUUUAUGAAUUUAGUUCAGUAUGUGAAGCCCCACCCUGUAGUCCCUGGACAUGAAAGCUCUGCUGGAGAUUAUAAUCCCCAUCAUCUCCAUCAGCAGAUUCUGAUGGCAUUUAAUGUCAAAAUGAACAGAAGUGUCUAGAGGCAGUAGCAGUGCAGGCUGGAGGUCUUGAGGUUCCCCACAGAGAAUGCCAUGGUGAGACACAAUUUACUUGUAGCUUGCAAACAAUGCCUGUCUUGCCUCCCAGAAGCAUUUCCAUUGGAAGGAGCCAUUUCUGUCCACGAGCAGCACACGGACAUCGAUGCUCUCUGUGUGUUCCUAGAGCCCUUUGCUCCUUCCCUGGACACUGGUGUUCUCCAGGCUUUGCAGCACAGGUGCUGAAUCCCUUACAGGGCAGUUUCUCAGCUGAAAUUGCAGCUCCUCCAACCAGCCUUGUAAAAACAGAGAUCUACUGGUGAGUGACGCAAAGCCGGAUAGAGGGCACGGGAGUCAACGUGUGCCUUCAGAAUCCUGGCAGAUGGAUCAGGGCUGUGUGCUACAACAACCUUUGGAGGAGCUGAAUUCCUCCUGGGUGUUUCCUCUGGCAGCUCAUUCAUCAAGCGGGUAGAGGGUGAAUGUGUUCUUUGAAAACAUAACCAGUGGCAAGGGAUGAGGGAGCUGAUAUAAAUCCAGGGUGCAUCUCUCACUGAUUUCACCAGGUCUGGAAUGACAAAAACCAAGCUACGCUUCUAAACAGACCAAGUAAAAUCUUAGCCUAGAUGGUGCAAGUGGUUGAACACCACUCUAGAGCAUAACUAGUCAGUGUGCACAAAUAGGGCACGAGAAAGGGCUGGGAAGGACCUGGAGGGGUCUGCUGGUUGUCACCUCUGUCCUACAGCAAGGCUGAAUGAGCCAAUUGCAGAUUAACAGGGUGAUUUGGGAAAUGCUGAAUAUAUUGACUGUUAGGGCCUUUUAGCUAUUUCCUUUGAAAUAGACCCUUGACAGGGAAAACCUCAGUGUUCAUUUUCUUAACAUUAUUACAUUAUCCAGGAAAGAGAAUGAAGCCAAGAAAAGCAGAAACCCUGUUACAUUUUCGAGUAUAGUGGUAAACUAUGCAGAUUGUAAACAGACUUUAUUUUCUAUAGGGCAUUUAAAAUAUAUUUCCCCUUCUCUUAAUCCUGGCAAGAAGCACUCUCUAAACUCAUAAGCUAUGAAUUCCCCCAUCUCCAGAAGGAAACAACUCUUUAUGACUGUUCUUGUUUGCCUGCUUCCUUUUCCCCACCACAGUAAGUUUUGAGACCAGUGGCCAAAUUCAGCCAUGUGUGAUGGAGAGGAAUAAGCUCAAAGAAACUGGAUUCCAGCAACUUUCAUGAAAAUAGGCAGCCAGAGAGUGGAGAGACUUUUAUUUAGAAGGAAUGGCUGAAGUGGGAGUUCAGCCCUUACUGGAAAAUCUAUGAAGUCAGUGCAAACUGUGGGGGGAAAAAAAGUCUUUGACCAAGGUCUGCACCUUCUUGAAUUAGUUUUAUUGUUCAUGAAAUAUUUUUGUUCCAUUCCUUUAUUCCCAAAUUCCUGCUUUUGUAUGAAUCUGUACCUUUGUCUGCAUUAACUUUAAAGAUAGGUUCAGAAAUGCUGUCCUGAAAACACCAUUAUUUCCUGAACUGUGUUCUCCCCUUCAAAACCAGGUUUUUGUUAGACCAUGUAAUGCUGUUCUAUGUAACACAAAGGCCCUGUUUUUUUAUUAUCAGCUUGUAGGAUUUCAGGAAGCUGAAGAUAAAAGUGACCCUAAUUUUUGUAUUCACUCUUGGCUUUCUCUGUCUUGAACUGUUUGUGGAACAGGUUUAAUGGACGUUCUCUGCAUUUCUUGGUUCUUAAUGACAUACACAACCUGAAUGUAACAGACUGGCUUUUCUUGAACUUCAGUCUUAACUAGAAUUUUCAAGACACAAACACAACACAAAGAUGUUUCCCAAAGAGGUUUAACAAUCACACGUUUGCUGCCUUUUAGAUUUUUGACAACACAAGCAAGAUGACUGAGCUGGAAUAAAAUGUAGGCAAGCACAGGCUUACAUGCUCAAAGUCCUCAUAAUGAAGUGACUAAGGUACCUUAAAAAAAAUUCCUACUAAGUGCUGGCAGAAGCAAUCCAUAAACACUUUGCUACCCUGUCACUAGAAUGAAUUUAGAUGACACAAGAUGAAGACAGCCAUGCCCCUUUAUGCCAGAGCUUUCAGUGUAAGUGAUGCUACUUAGGUGAAGGGUGUUGAAUAAAGGGAGAAAACCUCCCGUGCAGAGGCCUUAACAAGCACCAGAGGGAAUUUACAAUCCUAUCUCUUUAGACAGAUCUUCCCCACUUUAAAGAAUAUUUGGUACUUUCUACUUUUCUAAAGGCCUGAGGGGUGCCCUGAAAUGUAAAAAAAUUACACCAAGUUUUUGGCAAACUGUGCUGUUCCAGAUAUGUAGAGUAUCCUUAGCAAACACAAAAAUGGAAGGGGAAGCAUACAAAGUGCUAGUUAAACCAUUUAUUUAGCAUUUUGUCGUCAUGUAGCUUUGAGGAUUUUUGGUUCCCAUCGUGGAAAAAUGUGAUCUAAUAAAGUACUAAUUUAAAAAAGAAUAUAUGGAGGUUAUUAUACAGAAGCUUUUAAUUGUCUCCUUUCUGCACCAAGCCAUACUGCAUCUUAAGGGGUGAGUUCUAGCCCCAGUGUUGGAAUUUUCCCUCUUCCAUCUUAGCUCUCUACAAGUCAUUUGCUCCAACUCAACCAGAGUCUAGUGCUUAAAAUUCUGGAUGGAGGGAGGCCCCAGCUCCAGCACAUCAGAAGUGAGUCAUCUUUGUGUGUUUCUAUCCAUUCAUGAAGACUGAAACAUGUUAAUAAUAAGCAGCUCUUCUUUUGUUUCUUUGGUUAUGCUGGAAGAGGAGAACUAAAGAAUUGAAAGAAACAAGUUUAGUGUUAAGAAAUAAGCACUUUCAUGAGCCCUCCAAAAGAUCCUUAAACAUCCACAUAUUUCUCUUGUAGCCCAGAAUGUGACCGAGACAGCACAUGAUGUGUUGUCUGAUGCAAGAACUAUGUUCGGUUAAUGCAUAUUGCCAAGUUUGUGUCUGCAAACAGGAGCUUGAUUUGCUGUGUCUGGGCUGUGUCUGAUUGUACUCAUUCACAAAGCCAGCAAAAUAGCUGGAAAAGUGGUAGAAUACAGGAAACUGUUGAGCUUUUUGAUCAAUUAUUCCAAAACAAGAAUGAUCAAAUACAGGCCAUAGGAUUAAAACACAGCUGGAAUCCAUCCUCAUUUGUAACAUAAACAUUUUGGAAUGGUCUGUCCCUUCCCAGUCCACCCACUCGUGUCAAAAGAUGAUGCAGUUGGAUUUGCUGGUGAUACCAAGAUCCUGGUAAGCUCCAGGCAUGGUCCCUCUGGAUAGUCAGAUGUGUUCACUGGUGUGUCACCUCCUCAGCUGCUGGGUUACAAAGCAACAAGGUACCAUUUAUUACACUGCUGAUCUCAGAUAGCACUUCCUCUGUCAUCUCCAUUCAUAGUUACAGAUGACAUGCAGAAUUAUUUUCAGCUCUGUUUGGCUCGUGUGCAAUCCAAUUUUGCAGCUCCCCUCUGGAUUCUGUAAAUACAACAGCAGGGAGAAGCCACCUUUUGUCCCCUUGUGCCAGGAGGACCUGCCAGACAUCAACAUGGACCAAACUGCUUUCUAUUUACGUAUUAUCCCUCCCGGCUGUUCACACACAGACUUCCCUUUCCUGGCAAUCUUCCAGUCACUCCGUACUCCAGGCAGAGGUACUAAAACAGCAAAGCAGUUGAUGAGAGCUAAAAUAAAUCUACAUUCUGUUAUACUGUGUGGCCCAGAGAUGACUGAGCAAUUGAACAACAGAGCAGCCGAGACACGUCAGAGGAAUCGGCUUCAUAACCCUGACACUUGAGACACCUGGAAAAGCAGAGACAUUCCCUGGAGAUCUGCUGAGGUCAUUAACACAGCCAGGCUGACUCAUCAAUGCAUCUACAUGUGCCCAAGUGCAAAUAUAUAAGGGAGCUUAAUGGUUUUAAUGUAGUGCUCAACAGAAAUAUGCACUUAUUUCGUAAAUAAGUACCUUCUUGAAUUAAGGCUCCAGCUUCUUGCCUUCUAAUGCACCCAGACCCCACUGCUCAGUCAUUGCCAGUAGGUGCUGGUGUCCAGUGACACCUGGGAAGCAGCAAUGUGCUGCUGUGUCCCACAGAGGAGCUGCUUUGGUUGUGCUCUUUGUCUUACCUCUCCUGGGCACAGGUGAAGCCCUCGGGCUCCUGGCAGGCUGCCAUGGUAAACCCAGCAUGCUGCAUGUUGGCUCGAGUGGGCAGUAAAGGCCUCAAUAUUGCAUCUCAAACACUGAUUAGUAAAGCAGGCAAUUGAAAAAAGUGUUUGUUUAGCUUAUGGAGAUUGUGGAAAAGAAAACAGCUCCAGAAAUUCAAAGCUAGAAAUGCUAGAGCAGGCACAUCAGACUUCUAAGAAUGAGCUUCCACGCCUCCACCCUCAGCUGCAAGGAUGAAGGUCUUUCUUAGACAAGCAGUUGAAAUGCAGUUCAACAAAAAGCCACUCAGAAGGGUCAAGAGCAAGGAUUCAGGCAGUAAAAUAAACACCUGGAGAUGGAAAAAUCCUUCUCCAUAUUUCCUCCCACAUGUUUUGGAAUUAUUGUGCCAGGAAAUUAUUAAAUCACACAAGUUUCAAUAA